UCAAACCAUCACCCUCCUUUUGUCAUCCGCAGUUCUGCUGGUAGCAGCCACGUCCAGAGGUAGCUCCGCCUCGUCUCGGUUCGCGAGCAGCAGGAGAGACCCUCUCCCCUACACGGGAACACGCUGGACUACGGGGUACGGGCCAGCUCUUUUUUGCAGCUGCGGCGCAAAGGCAGCCCGCCUGACCUUGCGGACAGACGCCAACCCGGGCCAGAGAUACCUGCCUUGCUCACGGGCGACGGUUUGCCGCCGUCCUCUCUGGCACUGGCUUGAUACCAAGCCGAGCCCGUACAGGUUUGCCGCCGGCGCUGGCCGCCUCCCGUCUUCAUCGACCUCACCGGCGGCGGUGACGACGACGACAAGGGCAAGGCGUUCUACUAGGGAAGCAUGCGAGCCUAUAGAAUUUGGAGCGGGUCGCCGACGGAGACAAUGCCACCGCUCUGGCCGCAUGACCCCGACCUUGUCCAGUCGGUCCCGUUAAUGAACUUGUAGACACUAGAAUACGAGGCCAUAUCAUGGCAAGUACUCCACUCUGUUGAACUCU